UUCAAUUCUAGGAUAAGAUUUUAUUCAAAACUUCAUUGUAAAAGUGGUACAGUUUUAGCCGUAAAAGGAGUUUUUAUUGGAAAUUGCAUUGUCAAUUAAUAUUUACAGAAAUGCAACCUUAAAGUGCCAGAGGUUUAAAUCACUUUGCUGCUUCUCCACUAAGAAUGUGGCAUUUUAGAAGUUGGAUCAAAGAUUAAUAAGCCUAUUAUAAUGUGUCUGUGUAGCACCAGCAGAUAGUAUAAUUUUGAGAGAGAUCAUGCCCAGAUGAUGCUGAAUACGUGUAUCGGAUAUUUGCUAGUAUCUGUUACCCCUUUAGUAAUCAUUUAAUAGUUGAAACAGUGAUUAUUAGUUUGUUAAAAUUUCUAGUCAAUCUGAUAUUGAAAUAUUUUUUUUGGAUACAAUACCUAUUAUAUAAAAAAGAAGAUAAGAACAUAAAAAAAAAAAAAAUGCAAGAUUCUGUCUUUUGGUAUUCUGUUUUAUUCUGUUACUGAUAUGCUAUGGAAAGAAAUGAAUGGGAGUUAUCUUUCUUAGUCUAGUUUGGAUUGUCUCUGUAAGCACAAACAAUCUAUGAAGAAGUUUUCAAGAAAAUCAAAUAUAUCUGGUGAGGUGAAUCAUCAGAAAAAAAACUUUAUUGUCUUGGAUGGAGAGUUGCCUCAUUGGCACUCAUAUCUUAUUAUUGUUAACCUUUAGAUAAAGAGAUGAUUUGUUUUCACAUUUUCUGCUUUACUAAUGGCAAUUACAGUUUACUAUGCAAUAUAAAUUUGGCUUAUUAUUGAAACAUUGCAAUAAUGAUUAUUUAGAUACCAACAACAGUUCUGCCAAAGUUUGCCAAGCCUAUAAGUGUUUAUUUAUCAUGAAUUGAUUUGGGUAAUAGGCUUGUUUAUUAUUAGGAGUUAUUUCCCUUUCCUUAGUCGCUUGAGAGAAAAAUCUAUGAUAUAAGAAUAAGAAUUUUAUUAAUCUAAUCAAGAAGCCAUAAAGGGCAUCAUUUUACAACACAAUAUGAUUGGAAAAAGCAAAACAGAAAACUAAUACAUACUAUAACAUUAUGGACAGGAUCAGAGCCUAACACAACAUGUGUUUUAUGCAAGAUCAGGUCUGGAUUAGAUUUACAAAAUAGAGAAAAAUGGGCACAUAUUACAGAAAAAAGGGCCAAAUAAUUGGAGAAAAUUAAUAAAUAAAACAGAAUAAUGGGGUUCUAGAAUAUAAAGAAUAUCGGUAGAGAAUAUUUGGAUAUAAGGAAUACAGAAAAAUCAUUUAAAUAACAAAAGAGGGUAACACUGAGUUAGCUAUAAAACUAAUCUUCCCUGAGGCCCUAAUCAUUAAAAAUCAUUAAAUAACAAAAGAGGGUUACACUGAGUUAGCUAUAAAACUAAUCUUCCCUGAGGCCCUCAUCAUUAAAAAUCAUAACAAAAGAGGGUUACACUGAGUUAGCUAUAAAACUAAUCUUCCUGAGGCCCUCAUCAUUAAAAAUCAUAAACAAAAGAGGUUACAGUGAGUUAGCUAUAAAACUAAUCUUCCCUGAGGCCCUCAUCAUUAAAAAUCAUUUAAAUAACAAAAGAGGGUUACACUGAGUUAGCUAUAAAACUAAUCUUCCCUCAUCAGAGGCCCUCAUCAUUAAAAAUCAUAAACAAAAGAGGGUUACACUGAGUUAGCUAUAAAUGUAAUCUUCCCUGAGGCCCUCAUCAUUAAAAAUCAUUUAAAUAACAAAAGAGGGUUACACUGAGUUAGCUAUAAAACUAAUCUUCCCUGAGGCCCUUAUCAUUAAAAAUCAUAAACAAAGAGGGUUACACUGAGUAAGCUAUAAAACUAAUCUUCCCUGAGGCCCUCAUCAUUAAAAAAUCAUAACAAAAGAGGGUUACACUGAGUUAGUUAGCUAUAAAACUAAUCUUCCCUGAGGCCCUCAUCAUUAAAAAUCAUAAACAAAAGAGGGUUACACUGAGUUAGCUAUAAAACUAAUCUUCCCUGGAGGCCCUCAUCAUAUAAAAAUCAUAAACAAAAGAGGGUUACACUGAGUUAGCUAUAAACUAAUCUUCCUGAGGCCCUCAUCAUUAAAAAUCAUAAACAAAAGAGGGUUAACUGAGUUAGCUAUAAGCACUAAUCUUCCUGAGGCCCUCAUCAUUAAAAAUCAUAAACAAAAGAGGGUUACACUGAGUUAGCUAUAAAACUAAUCUUCCCUGAGGCCCUCAUCAUUAAAAAUCAUAAACAAAAGAGGUUACACUGAGUUAGCUAUAAAACUAAUCUUCCCUGAGGCCCUCAUCAUUAAAAAUCAUAAACAAAAGAGGGUUACACUGAGUUAGCUAUACAACUAAUCUUCCCUGAGGCCCUCAUCAU
rnacentral:lncRNA from 1 species